ACAUGCAAGUUGAGCGCUGAAGGUUGGUACUUGUACCGACUGGNAUGAGCAGCGAACGGGUGAGUAACGCGUGGGGAAUCUGCCUUUGAGCGGGGGACAACAUUUGGAAACGAAUGCUAAUACCGCAUAAAAACUUUAAACACAAGUUUUAAGUUUGAAAGAUGCAAUUGCAUCACUCAAAGAUGAUCCCGCGUUGUAUUAGCUAGUUGGUGAGGUAAAGGCUCACCAAGGCGAUGAUACAUAGCCGACCUGAGAGGGUGAUCGGCCACU
rnacentral:rRNA from 1 species